rnacentral:tRNA from 1 species
GCAGCUGUAGCUCAGUUGGUUAGAGCGCCGGAUUGUGGAUCCGGAGGUCGUAGGUUCGACCCCUACCAGCUGUACCA